AUUGAACGCUGGCGGCAUGCCUAACACAUGCAAGUCGAACGGCAGCACAGUGUGUAGUAAUACACAUGGGUGGCGAGUGGCGGACGGGUGAGUAUAAAGUAGGAAUCUGCCUUAUAGACGGGGAUAACUUGGGGAAACUCGAGCUAAUACCGGAUAAGCACUACGGUGGAAAGUAUGGGACCGCAAGGCCAUACGCUAUAAGAUGAGCCUACGUCGGAUUAGUUAGUUGGUUGGGUAAAGGCUGACCAAGACAAAGAUCCGUAGCUGGUCUGAGAGGAUGAUCAGCCACACUGGGACUGAGACACGGCCCAGACUCCUACGGGAGGCAGCAGUGGGGAAUAUUGGACAAUGGGGGAAACCCUGAUCCAGCGAUGCCGCGUGUGCGAAGAAGGCCUGCGGGUUGUAAAGCACUUUAGUUGGGGAAGAAUGAGUGUAAUUCGAAUAGAGUUACGCAGUGACGUUACCCAAAGAAUAAGCACCGGCUAACUCUGUGCCAGCCGCCGCGGUAA
rnacentral:rRNA from 1 species